CCUAACACAUGCAAGUCGAACGAGCGAGAGAGAGCUUGCUUUCUCAAGCGAGUGGCGAACGGGUGAGUAACGCGUGAGGAACCUGCCUCAAAGAGGGGGACAACAGUUGGAAACGACUGCUAAUACCGCAUAAGCCCACGGCUCGGCAUCGAGCAGAGGGAAAAGGAGCAAUCCGCUUUGAGAUGGCCUCGCGUCCGAUUAGCUAGUUGGUGAGGUAACGGCCCACCAAGGCGACGAUCGGUAGCCGGACUGUGAGGUUGAACGGCCACAUUGGGACUGUGACACGGCCCAGACUCCUACGGGAGGCAGCAGUGGGGAGUAUUGCACAAUGGGGGAAACCCUGAUGCAGCGACGCCGCGUGGAGGAAGAAGGUCUUCGGAUUGUAAACUCCUGUUGUUGAGGAAGAUAAUGACGGUACUCAACAAGGAAGUGACGGCUAACUACGUGCCAGCAGCCGCGGUAAAACGUAGGUCACAAGCGUUGUCCGGAAUUACUGGGUGUAAAGGGAGCGCAGGCGGGAAGACAAGUUGGAAGUGAAAUCCAUGGGCUCAACCCAUGAACUGCUUUCAAAACUGUUUUUCUUGAGUAGUGCAGAGGUAGGCGGAAUUCCCGGUGUAGCGGUGGAAUGCGUAGAUAUCGGGAGGAACACCAGUGGCGAAGGCGGCCUACUGGGCACCAGCUGACGCUGAGGCUCGAAAGUGUGGGUAGCAAACAGG
rnacentral:rRNA from 1 species